rnacentral:rRNA from 1 species
AACGUAGGAGACGAACGUUAUCCGGAGUUACUGGGCGUAAAGGGCGUGUAGGCGGUUUGUUAAGUCUGGCGUGAAAGCUCUCGGCUAAACCGGGAGAGGUCGUUGGAUACUGGCGAACUAGAGGAUGGUAGAGGCGUGUGGAAUUCCGGGUGUAGUGGUGAAAUGCGUAGAUAUCUGGAGGAACACCGGUGGCGAAGGCGGCAUCCUGGACCGGCAUUGACGCUGAGGCGCGAAAGCGUGGGUAGCAAACAGG